UGAUUUUUGCACCAUCCGACGGUUCUGCAUGGGACUUCCACAGUGAUCAGUGGUUCCUAUUCCUUCGAAAAUGGAAGUGAUAAAUCGUGGUUAAGAAUCGAUCCUCUUUUUAAUCCCUAAUAUGACGUUCAAGAUUUCAUCUUGCACUUAAUCAGCUCUUCCGUUACAGCCCAUUAUCACACAAGCAUAAAUUAGGGUCUCGAUUACCCAGACGUUAGGAAAAAUUAAAAUCCUCAUUAACAGCAUCGUAUUAACAUCCAGCUCGCAAUAUCUUAUUCAAUGACCAGUUACGAAGUCAUUAGACUCAUUACCCGUACUAUUAAAGAGGGGAGGCAGAUCAUCUUGGUUCACUGCUCCAAAACUUUCGUUUCUGGGUUUAUUACAUUUUACUCUAUUGCAAUCCUUCUUUCGGCUUCUCAUUCGAGAAUAAUUCCACAAUCCAAACCCCAUAAAGAUUCAUAAUAGUGAUAGACAUAAAAAUGCGACCAAGAAAAGACAUAUUAGUAAAAGAUUGUUGUAGAUCUAGGAUGAGAAAUCUAUUUUUGCUGCUAGCAAUGGAAAUGGAAUCGGUAAAUCUUCAAGGCUGCAAUUGCUGACAGCAAAGGUGCCAAUAGCCGUGUAAAAACAGCAUGCGCAGCUGGCCUAAUGUGAUUAAUUAAAGCAAGGUGAAAGGUAUAAGCAAAUAUUAUUCCUUGAAUGUUUCAAACAUAAAAAAGGAUAAUACUAACAACACGAUACAAGGUAGGAAACCAUUAACAACGUCAUGAUUUGCGCCAUAUUGAUUCAUACCCGGCUAUUCAAUUUGAUGUGUUAUGAAUAUCUACCCUUUAAAAUGGUCCCCUAAAUGUUCCCCUACUUGAACCUCAACAAAGGUUAUCAUGUUCCAGUAUACUCUUCGAAGUCUCAAGACUACCAUGUCAGUACUAUCUUAUAAUUUUUCAUUGCAUGUGAAUUGAUUCUCCAAUUGAUUUCAACAACACUUAUAAUUGGCCUACCGAUUGACCACUAUAAUGUAUAUUCAAAGGGUCUUGAGGGUACGAUUCGUUCAAGAUGUUCAUGUAGAAAAUCGGUACCCACUCAUGCAAGAUAGUUAAUAAUGAUCGAGAGUCCUCAGGUGGUGAUGUUUUUAUUCCAAGGUGUAUGAGCGGUUAGUGCUGACCAACAUUCCUAAACUGUUUCCUUUUACGGUCUCCUCUGUCGAAGAACCACUUUAUCGAAUUAAAGGAUCGAUACACAUGUUUAGAUAAUAUAUUUACAUUUCAUUGUGUGAUGUUACAUUUUUUGGAAUUCAGUAAAUACAAUCCAUGGAUAAAAUUAGAGACCAAUCAAACAUUAAAUUUUUGUUAUCCAUUUUGUCUACUUUUUAACUAAUUAAAGUUGCAUAAAACAAAAGGAAAACAUUUUUUUUUCCAAUUUUAAGCGUGCCUGAAACUGAUUAUUGUUAAACUAAAGCAUUUUGUAGAAAACUGCCUUGAGCAAAGGAUUAAACGCGUUGUGGUUAGCUUCUUUAUUUGGAUGUUCUUAUUUAAAUCUUUUUGAUUUUUUUUAAUACUUUUUUUUAGGAAGGAAAAAUUAGAAGUCACAAAGAAGUUGCAGCGUUCUGCUGCUUUUGGUUUUCAUCUACUUAAACAGUUCAAAUGACCUAUUAGCAUAACAGAGUAGUAAGGAAGAUUUAUUUGUGAUGAUUUCGUUGAUGUUUACGUCGGUAAUGCCUAUUUUUCUAUUAGUCUGCUUAAGCGGUGUGGAUCUGAAUACGGGCGUUCUUUAUAUUGGCUUCUUAAAAUGUUGGAUCUCUAAAAUGGUGUAAUCUACACUCUGCACACCAACCUGGGAUUGAAUAUUUUGUUUGCUUUUUUGACUGGUAAAGAGCACUGGAAAUUUUGUAUGAGGAUGUUAAGGGUGCGAGUCAUUUGACUAGGCGCAGACAGUGAAUCUGAUUCCCUUUCAUGUGGAGUGCAUCACAAUGUGCCCGUCAGGGAAUUUAAUUGGCAAUGAUCGAUAAAAGCAAUGAAGGCAUUAAAGGGAUUUAGCUGAUCUAGAUGCCAUGGCCGUGUUGAAGAUGGUUGAAUCCUAUCUUGCAUACUCAUUUGCGAAAGCAGACUUGGUAGCAAUAAACUAUAUGGAGGAAAGGAAAUGAAGAUGGCUCCUUAUAUUAAACUAGGAUAUGACCCACGCGGCCGCGCCGUGACGGCACAUGAUUUAAUUUGUUAAAGGUGUUUCCGAAUGGUUGUUUCUCAUCGUAUUUCGACAUAUGUCCUGUUAAAUAUAAUUCCAGUGUUAUUACAUUGUGUCAUUUUUGCCUAGUGUUAUUAGAAUUUACUUUUUUUACAUACAUACGCUAGACACGCUACUCAAGAGUCAAGACGCUGUUCUGAU